AACUGCUAAUGGCUUUUAUGUUUCCAAUGUCAGGUGCCAGAUAUGACAUCCAGUUGCCCCAGCCACCAUCCCUGUCAUCACCUCUGGGAGACAGAGUCACCAUCACUUGCCGUGCCAGUGAGGGCAUUAGCAAGAGUUUACAUUGGUACCAGCAGAGAGCAGGGAAAGCUCCAAAGCUUCUGAUCAGUUUUGCAACUACUUUGCAAUCUGGGUUCCCAUCAAGGUUCAGUGGCAGUGGAUCUGGGACAGAGUUCACUCUCGCCAUCAGCAGCCUGCAGCCUGAAGAUGAGGCAAUAUAUUACUGUCAACAGGGUUAUAGUUUACCUCCCACAGUGACACAAGUCAUAACGAAAACCUCCCAGAGAAGCAGAAGAUCCAGUGGAGAUGUUGUGAUGACCCAGACUCCAGUCUCCUUGCCUGUCACGCUGGAAGAUCUGGCCUCCAUCUCCUGCAGGUCUAGUCAGAGCCUCCUGCAUAGCAAUGGAAACACCUAUCUGAACCGGUACCUGCAGAAGCCAGGCUGGUCUCCACAACUCCUGAUAUACACAGUUUCCAACUGA